UCCCUAGUGGCUUAGACGGUAAAGAAUCUGCCUGCAACGCAGGACACCUGGGUUUGAUUCCUGGAUCAGGAA
rnacentral:tRNA from 1 species